rnacentral:rRNA from 1 species
GAUGAACGCUGGCGGCGUGCCUAAUACAUGCAAGUCGAGCGAACGGACGAGAAGCUUGCUUCUCUGAUGUUAGCGGCGGACGGGUGAGUAACACGUGGAUAACCUACCUAUAAGACUGGGAUAACUUCGGGAAACCGGAGCUAAUACCGGAUGAUAUUUUGAACCGCAUGGUUCAAAAGUGAAAGACGGUCUUGCUGUCACUUAUAGAUGGAUCUGCGCUGCAUUAGCUAGUUGGUAAGGUAACGGCUUACCAAGGCAACGAUGCAUAGCCGACCUGAGAGGCUGAUCGGCCACACUGGAACUGAGACACGGUCCAGACUCCUACGGGAGGCAGCAGUAGGGAAUCUUCCGCAAUGGGCGAAAGCCUGACGGAGCAACGCCGCGUGAGUGAUGAAGGUCUUCGGAUCGUAAAACUCUGUUAUUAGGGAAGAACAUAUGUGUAAGUAACUGUGCACAUCUUGACGGUACCUAAUCAGAAAGCCACGGCUAACUACGUG